rnacentral:rRNA from 1 species
UACAGAGGGUGCAAGCGUUAAUCGGAAUUACUGGGCGUAAAGCGUGCGUAGACGGUAGCGUAAGUCGGGUGUGAAAGCCCCGGGCUCAACCUGGGAAUUGCAUUCGAGACUGCAUAGCUAGAGUACGGUAGAGGGGGAUGGAAUUCCGCGUGUAGCAGUGAAAUGCGUAGAUAUGCGGAGGAACACCGAUGGCGAAGGCAAUCCCCUGGACCUGUACUGACGCUCAUGACACGAAAGGCGUGGGGAGCAA